CCUGGCCUUGCAUUCCAGCUCAGCGGGUGGAAGGUAUAAAUUUCAGCUGCUCUCAGCCCUGCUGUGUUUUUCCAAAGCCUUCCAACAGCAACAUGAAGUUGGCAGCCUUCCUCCUCCUGUGAUCCUCAUCAUCUUCAGCCUAGAGGUACAAGAGCUUCAGGCUGCAGGAGACCGGCUUUUGGGUACCUGCGUCGAGCUCUGCACAGGUGACUGGGACUGCAACCCCGGAGACCACUGUGUCAGCAAUGGGUGUGGCCAUGAGUGUGUUGCAGGAUGAAGAGUUAUCUUAAGGAUCAUCUUUCCCUAAGAUCGUCAUCCCUUCCUGGAGUUCCUAUCUUCCAAGAUGUGACUGUCUGGAGUUCCUUGACUAGGAAGAUGGAUGAAAACAGCAAGCCUGUGGAUGGAGACUACAGGGGAUAUGGGAGGCAGGGAAGAGGGGUUGUUUCUUUUAAUAAAUCAUCAUUGUUAAAAGCACUCA
ensembl:lncRNA novel transcript